UGAUUUUGGGUCAUUAGAAAUAAAAACUCAUUAGUUGUCCACAUCCUAAUUUUACAUUCAGUUGAAUUAUUUCUCCUUCGUUCCUUUUCAAUUUACACAACGUCGUACAUACUAAUACCGCAUUUCAUUAAGUCAAUGGAGUAUCAUUUAAGAUUAGAAAAUGAAAUUGAUCAAUUACUUAAAAAACCUCUAAACUCUUUUUCUUAUCUUUAUUAUUUGAUAAGUUAUUUGUGUUCUUCACAAAUAGAAGAAAAUUCAAUAAAAUAUUCUUGAAAUAUUAAAUGGUUAAUGUAGGAUCAU
rnacentral:lncRNA from 1 species